rnacentral:rRNA from 1 species
AUUGAACGCUGGCGGCAUGCCUAACACAUGCAAGUCGAACGGGGCAGCAAUGCCUAGUGGCGGAUGGGUGAGGAAUACGUAGGAAUCUGCCCUUAAGUUGGGGAUAACCCGGGGAAACCCUGACUAAUACCGCAUGAUCAUUUCGGCGCAAAGUGGGGGAACGCAAGGCCUCUCGCCUCUGGAUGCGCCUACGUCUGAUUAGCUAGUUGGUAGGGUAAAGGCCUACCUAGGCGACGAUCAGUAACUGGUCUGAGAGGAUGAUCAGUCAAAACGGAACUGAGACACGGUCCGGACUCCUACGGGAGGCAGCAGUGGGGAAUAUUGGACAAUGGGCGCAAGCCUGAUCCAGCAAUGCCGCGUGUGUGAAGAAGGCCUUCGGGUUGUAAAGCACUUUAGCCUGGAAAGAAAAAACUUUGGUUAACACCCAAAGUCUUGACGGUACCAGGAGAAUAAGCACCGGCUAACUCUGUGCCAGCAGCCGCCGUAACAC